UACGAAGGGGGCUAGCGUUGUUCGGAAUUACUGGGCGUAAAGCGUGCGCAGGCGGUUCUAUAAGACAGAUGUGAAAUCCCCGGGCUCAACCUGGGAACUGCAUUUGUGACUGUAGAGCUGGAGUACGGUAGAGGGGGAUGGAAUUCCGCGUGUAGCAGUGAAAUGCGUAGAUAUGCGGAGGAACACCGAUGGCGAAGGCAAUCCCCUGGACCUGUACUGACGCUCAUGCACGAAAGCGUGGGGAGCAAACAGG
rnacentral:rRNA from 1 species